AACGAACGCUGGCGGCAGGCUUAACACAUGCAAGUCGAACGCAUCCUUCGUGGUGAGUGGCAGACGGGUGAGUAACGCGUGGGAACGUGCCCUUCAGUUCGGGAUAACCCAGGGAAACUUGGGCUAAUACCGGAUACGUGCGAGAGCAGAAAGAUUUAUCGCUGAAGGAUCGGCCCGCGUCUGAUUAGCUAGUUGGUGGGGUAAUGGCCCACCAAGGCGACGAUCAGUAGCUGGUCUGAGAGGAUGAUCAGCCACAUUGGGACUGAGACACGGCCCAAACUCCUACGGGAGGCAGCAGUGGGGAAUAUUAGACAAUGGGCGCAAGCCCGAUCCAGCCAUGCCGCGUGAGUGAUGAAGGCCUUAGGGUUGUAAAGCUCUUUCGUCCGGGACGAUAAUGACGGUACCGGAAGAAGAAGCCCCGGCUAACUUCGUGCCAGCAGCCGCCGUAA
rnacentral:rRNA from 1 species